UGGGGAAUUUUGGACAAUGGGCGAAAGCCUGAUCCAGCAAUGCCGCGUGUGUGAAGAAGGCCUUCGGGUUGUAAAGCACUUUUGUCCGGAAAGAAAUCCUUGGCUCUAAUACAGUCGGGGGAUGACGGUACCGGAAGAAUAAGCACCGGCUAACUACGUGCCAGCAGCCGCGGUAAUACGUAGGGUGCAAGCGUUAAUCGGAAUUACUGGGCGUAAAGCGUGCGCAGGCGGUUUUGUAAGACGGAUGUGAAAUCCCCGGGCUUAACCUGGGAACUGCAUUCGUGACUGCAAGGCUAGAGUAUGGCAGAGGGGGGUAGAAUUCCACGUGUAGCAGUGAAAUGCGUAGAGAUGUGGAGGAAUACCGAUGGCGAAGGCAGCCCCCUGGGCCAAUACUGACGCUCAUGCACGAAAGCGUGGGGAGCAAACAGGAUUAGAUACCCUGGUAGUCCACGCCCUAAACGAUGUCAACUAGUUGUUGGGGAUUCAUUUCCUUAGUAACGUAGCUAACGCGUGAAGUUGACCGCCUGGGGAGUACGGUCGCAAGAUUAAAACUCAAAGGAAUUGAC
rnacentral:rRNA from 1 species